AACCCCCCCGAAAUGUAGGUUUCCCUGUGAUAUGUUAAUUUCAAAUGUGACAAGAGAAAGGGGAGACAGAGUGAGAUCUUGGAAUCGAGAGAUCAGCCAUGGUGUCCUUGAUGAGCUGAGCUCGGAGCUGCCUUCUUCGCUUAUCCGACCAGGGUUUUCAAGGAAGAAGCAAAAUUAUACAUUUUUCUUGAACUAGCCACUAGAGUCUCUCGCAUCUUUGUAUCGGAAGCAUCACCAGCAAGAUUCCCAAGUCUCUGCAUAUACAAGACAGAUUUUGAAUGGUUUAAGCUAUCUUCAUGAUUGAAAUAUGGUUCUACAGCUAACAAAGUUGGAUAUUUUGAAAUCUUGCAAUGGAAGCAUAUAUUAUAUAUUGGUAGGCUCCAGAGGUAGUUAAUUUUAAAAGAGCAUAUAAUGGGACUGCAUCUGAUAUAUGGUGUCUUGGUUGCUUAGUUUUGGAGAUGUUAACUCAUCAAGUUCCCUAUCCUAAUUUAGAAUGGGUAAGCUUCCUACUUGUUAAAACAUAAUUGCAUUAUUCUGUAAAAUUUUUUCUAUUAUAGUGGUACUAUGGGAAGCAUCAUGUAUGUUUUUCAUUUUCUAAAAGUUAAUACAUGCAUGUGUUAAAAGAUCGCUUUGCGUUUAUUCAGUUAUUGGUUUGAAAUAUUGAAAAAGAUGCUCGCUAUUAAAUAUUAGGCUAUUUAUUGUCUUAA